UUCGUGCACCAGCUGCUGUUUACAAAAAUACAUAGACUGCCGCCUCUUGUCUUACCAGACGCCGCUGUUCUAUCCUGCCGGUACAUCGUAUAACCAGCCAUUAUGUGUGAGAUGAGUGUUUCUUAGAUGUUUGUGUGUGUGUUGGGUUUGUGUGUGAUUUAUUUAGGCGUUCAUUGCUUCUGUGUGUUUGUAUAUGUCUUAUAUGCAUUGCCAUUUUGUCGCUGAUGGCAUCUCUUAAAUGUAUGCCAGUUUUUCACCUCAGUCUAUCUCAUCCAGGGCCGUGGAGAUGGAGGUUGGCCCCUCCUCAGGAAGAAGCUGGGUUACCUGCGUCAAGAGAACGACUCCCUGGAGAACAGACAGCUCAUUAGGGACCUGGAGGUGGCCCAGAUUGAACUGAGCAGCUCCAAGACCAAGGUCUGUCUCCUGGGCUCCACAGUAGGGGCUAAGACCUCCAGUGUGACUGUCACGAGAUAACAGAUCCUGGGCUUGGAGGCCGAUGUAGAGGCCCAAGCCAAAGAACUCCGUGAGCUGAAGGACGAGGUCACCCAGGCACGAACACAGGCCGCCGAGGUCCAGGGACGUCUGGAGGAGGCUGCCCAGCAGUCCUCGCGGCUGGGAUGGAGCUGGGCGAGUGGGCCUUGGCAGCCAGGGAGCUGGCCUCUCCACAGGGAGACGGAGCACAGUGCCAGGAACACAGGCUGGCCCGGUGCCGGAGAGAGAACCAGUAGAGCCAGGCUGAAUGAGCUAGUCUGGAGAACAUACUGAGUCUGAGAGUGAGGCAGCUGGAGACAGCGCUGUCCUGUAGAGAUGGAGGCCGAGGAUCAGUACCAGAGUCAGCUGGACAUCAAGAGCCACCAGGAGGAGUUGCGUAGCAGCACUCUGGUGUGUAGUCACUUCAGUGUUUAGCUCCAGUACUCCCUGCAGCAGAACAUAUUACAGGAGAGCAGCACCCGUUGGCCGAGCUGGAGGACAGCCAGAGCCAGCUACAGGGACAUGUAGAGAAACCUAUGGGAGAGACAAGAUAAAUAGACAAAUACUCUACCUAGAUGAGAGACGAAGACAAAUACUCUACCUAGAUGGGUGUAAAUGUGUCCUAUAGAGGGACGUCAGAAAUAACGAGGUGUAGUGCCAACUUGGUAAAACACGUGCCAUUGAGCCAGCUACAGGCAGGUAAACCUACUAGAGAGACUAAGACAAAUGGUCUACCUCGACGCCAGGUAUGAAUAUGUGUCUUACAGACAGGGAGAACCCUAACAUUGCAUUGAGACCUAAGGUAAAACACACAUCUGUCAAGCAAAAGCUAUUGCAUAAUAUUCCAUUUAUUUGAGUAUUUGACAUAGCAGGGUUCUGUAUGUGGUUAUAAUUGUCUUAGCUAAUCAUUUCACAUGCUCUUGCCAUAUUUUUGUGUGAGUGUUCUUUUUUUCAUGUUCUUCACCAAUAACACAGUAUAAAGGACUCCAUUGACAAAACCCAAUCUAAAUAUCUACAGUUGCGGGAAAUAACAUUUCUGUUUACAAAGAGAGCUGAGAGCUGAACUUCCCAAAGGCAACACUCUUUCUGUAUCAAAUUUGAAAUCUUAGGGUAUCACCAAGUCUUCCGUUGUUUUAAGGUGAAUCAUGUUAACUGUUAUUUUACGGUACUAGAAAGGAGUCUUUCAAGCAGUGAGGACAUUCCCUAUCAUGGGGAAUUCCAAAGGGACAUAUCUAUCAGGCAUAGUGAUGCAGAGCCGUGGGUCAAUCACAACACAAUUCAGGAAAUGAUCAAAGUUCUGUUCCUGACUUGACAAAUCAUUUUAAGACGUGCAAUUUCCUAUUCAUAAUGGUCUGCAUUUGUUUCAACUUUAAUGUUACGCCCACAGAUUAUCACAAAUCAGGGUCGGUCCAUAGUGAAAAAUCAUAUGAGUUUUGAAUUUAGCUCUGGUGACAAGCACUGAUCUAACUUGCUGAUGUGGCCUGGUUUGUGUCUGUCUAAUACUAGGCUACAUACAGUAAUAACACUGUUUUCCUACUGGAAGCAGCACUAGAACAAAAGAUCUACUUGAAUGCAAGUCUUGUGUUUUUUUAAAUCCCUCCCGUUGACGCACAUACUAUCGCCUACAGAAAUAAAUAUUUAUCGUUGAUUUUUCUGUGUACUGUACUUUGCUUAUCUGACAUUCAGUUCAAAAUUUACAACUGUAAAUUUUUUUUACAAAAAAACAAUAACAAAAAACAUUAGUUUCCAUGACCACACAGGGAUGAAAGCAACUUAAUGUGAAUUAAACUUUUUCAACAUUUUGUUACGUUAGAGGCUUAUUCUAAAAUAGAUUUUUUUCUUCUCAUCAAUCU